UACGUAGGGUGCAAGCGUUAAUCGGAAUUACUGGGCGUAAAGCGUGCGCAGGCGGUUCGUUGUGUCGGUGGUGAAAUCCCCGGGCUUAACCUGGGAAUGGCCAUGAAACUGGCGAACUGGAGUGCGGCAGAGGGGGGUGGAAUUCCGCGUGUAGCAGUGAAAUGCGUAGAGAUGCGGAGGAACACCGAUGGCGAAGGCAGCCCCCUGGGCUAGCACUGACGCUCAGGCACGAAAGCGUGGGGAGCAAACAGG
rnacentral:rRNA from 1 species